rnacentral:tRNA from 1 species
GGAGCAGCAAUGCCGGGUCAGCAUAACGUAUUGAAAUUAUGAUGGAAUAAGCCUCUACGGAUAGACACAGAAGGUUAGAGCCGAGUAUUCGCAAUGCGAAGGUCAGGAGUUCGAACCUCCUCGGCUCCACCA